AUAAAAUAACUGGGAUCAUUUAGACAUCUGUUUGUUUCUGAGUACAGUCUUUUGUCCUGCAGAAACCACUCUUACAUAACGACAUCCCAUAAUGAUCUCGUCUCACUUGUGUUUCUGGAUGUCCUUCACUCCAUUUUUCUGAUUCCCCAGCCUCUCUGAAGGAUUGUCCCUGAGAAGAAAAACACAUUAGAUGUUUAACAGAAAAGGUCAAACCAGUCCUCUGUUUCACUUCAGCUCAGUGAAGAUCGAUGGCGACCUGCAGAGGCGUUUGAUGAGGUUGGCGGCGCUCUUGGUGAUUUUCUUGGGAAACUCGAUCAUGUCGAUGCCCCGCAGGAUGAUGUUGUACGUCUUCAUGGGAUCAGAGCCUGAAAAUGGAGGGCUGAAGACGGAGAGAGAUAUUAGAGACAUGAUAAACCACACCACAGAAGUUGGAAAAGGGCGUGGCUACAUAAGGAGUGUGUGCAGACCAGCUUGGCGUAUCCCCGGUGGUCCAGGAUGAUGUUCUCUGGUUUCAGGUCUCUGUAGAUGAUCCCUCUGGAGUGCAGGAAGGCCAGAGCCUCGACCACACAGCCGGUGUAAAACCGAGUGACGCCGUCAUCGAACGAGCCCCUGAAACAGAUUCAGAGCUGGAGCUGAGGAAAUCAUGGACCUCAACACACACAAAGGGUCGAUCACACACCUGUCUCUGAGCAGCGUCCACAGCUCUCCUCCCAGGCACGCUUCCAGCAGCAUGUACAGCUCCACUCGACUGAAGCCUCCCAUCCCCAGAGUGCAGAUGAUGUUGAAACUACUCAGCGACACACUGGAAAAGAAAUCUGCUUCUGCCUGCAAACUAGAGGAGGAAACAGAAACACAUCAAACGAGAUCCAAUCUCUUACCAGACAUGUGACGUCUCCCACUGCCGUCACACUCGCUGUACGGACGUCCUCUCUGCACGCAGAAAGGAGGAUUAAUUUCUGUCUCUGGAGGAAGAAGAGUUACUUUGUUGAAGAGGACAUAUUCUUCUCAUGUUCAGGUGUAUAUCAGUAUAGUGUUGGAGAGUAGCUCCCUCUGGAGGGAACACAGGGAUUUUAGUCUUUGCAGACCAUUUACAUGCACUAACACCUAUAGAACACACUACAGGAGGGGGGACAUCGCAUGAAUGAGGCCUCUUUAAACCAAGAAUGACAGUAAACAUCCUGAGCAGACAGGAAUAACCAGAGUCAAGUGAGAAAAGUGGGAAUUUUGUGGAAGCUAUCUGUGAAAAGAAGCAAAAAGAAUUUGAGAUGUAGGAGGAACGCUUUUUCUCCAGACUGCAGUUUCACCCUUUCAGAGCAUGCUCU